CUGCAGAAGGAAUUUGCCACCAUUGAAAAGAAGAAGGAAGAACUUGCAGAUUAUCUUUGUGAAGACCGAAAAAAACUGUCUUUGGAAGAUGUAUUCAGCACAAUGAAAACCUUCAGAGAGAUCUUCCUCAAGACUUUACAGGAAAAUCAAGAAAGGAAGGAACAAGCUGCAAAAGCUGAGAAAAGGAAGAAACAGUUUAAAAGAGAAGAUGCAAAGAGGCUAAAGGGAGAGUACGGAAAGUGUCAUACAUUUAGCAAUUAAUUAUUUUUAUUAGCUAAUCUUUUGUUAAUUUUAUUCAUCAACUCUGGCUGAUCUGGUACAAUGAGAGUGACUUAGCCAUGGAUGAUGUAGUUGUCCAAGAGAUGCAUAGUGAGACAUCAAUUAUCCAUUUUAAAGUGCAAGAGAAUGCUUGGAAGAAAUCAUGAUAGGGAUGUUAGAAAAAAAUACCACUACCAAUGAGCAAGUUUCUCCUACUUUGCUCAGAAGUGGAGGAUAUCCUGCUAUUGUUCUGAAUAGUUCUUGGGAGCCUUUUAGGGUUAUAGAAAGCUGCACACACUUGAACUCCAUGCAUCACAGUAGGCAAGUUGUGUCCAAUGUUAUUUUUACCACAACAUUUUCUUUCUUCUGAUCAGAGAUCUGGCUCCUUAAAGGAGUUAUGUCAGAUCUUAAAGAAGUGUCUGUGCUGAUUGAUGCAGAAAAGCACUUGAUAUGCUGGGCCUCCUUGGGUGUGAAGCAUGUCCAGUGCUAAUACUGGCAUGUGUAUACUUUAAUUUUUUAUUUUGGCAAAUACUUGGCAUCUACUUUUAUGGGAGAUUUCUGCCAAUAAUGUUUGGUUACAAUUCUUGGUUCUUCAGAGCACCUCUGCAAUGAAGCCAUCAGAAGCCACUCCAUCUGAGUGGAGUUCAUGUAAGUUUUAUGCUAGAUAUUCAGCCCUUGGAAGACUGCUGCUUUUUUUGUAUCUGGUGUCUAAAUAGAUGACCUCCUUUUAGAUCCUCUCUCACAGUUAUUCACUUUCAGAAAUACAUUUUUAAAAAACAUAAAAUCCAUUGAAAACUGACCAAAACAAAGUUUUCAAUAUUGUCUUGUCAAGUUCUACCACAAAUAUGUUUUACAUACUUUGCAAUCAUAACACAGUUAAUGUAAAGCUGCAGGUUAAAAUAAAAAAAACCCUUUUUGCUAUAAAUAUACAAAAGAGUAACCUAGUAUAUCAUAAAAUAAAACCAGGAAGCAACACUUAUCAGUUGUAAGAAUUAAAGGUGUGCUUCAGCCCUGUAAAGUAAAGGAGCACCAAACCAGAAGAACCUUCUGUAUUUCCAGGAGACAGUUUGGGUGGAACUGUCAUUAUUUUUGUUCCUUUGUGAGAACAAAGGUGAGGUGGAUUUAAUUAUUGGGGAGUAUAAACUUGAACACAAAGAGCAUUUAGAGUCUGAAUUAUUUUUCAGUACUGAUUUUAGAGAAUUGUGCAUAGCAGUGGUGACAAAGACAAUCAAGAACUUUUAAAAUCUAUUUUAAUCUCAAUCAGGGUAUGCUGACAAAAUCAGAGGGUAUUAGAUCUGGCAUGACAGGAUGCUGAAGCUCAUCUUAACAUUCUUCAUUCUAUGUAAAAUGGGGGUUUGGGGUUUUGCUAAUCAUACAAGCAAGUUAAGUAAUUAUUUUCUGAAGAAGGGAAUGAAAAGAGUAAAUCUGGUGAACCCCUAUCAGCCUGUGCUUACAGGAUUGUCAAGGCCUGGUUCCACAAAGAAUGAAGUAACCCUUUAACUUUGCAGGUAUCUCCUUUAAUGCCAGUGCCACACAGCACACAGGGCAAUCCUGUGCAGGGAUCUUUAAAGGUCCCAAUCCUGCAGUCUCCGAAUCUCUGACCUUAAGUCCAGUCACAUGCUCUGUCAGUGUGAAUAUCUGGUUUGUCCAGUUGUCUGAGGAUCAUUUCUCUGCAGCUGACAGAUCUGCCAGGGACAGCACACAGCAGCAAUGUCCCUUAGGGCCAGCAAUAACCUCGCUCUCUGGAUUUCAAACAGGAGAGUAAAGCCAGAAGCACCCAUUGCUGAUGUAUUUAGAGAUUACAAGUGAGGGCUUCAGCUGCUGAGAACAAAACUGAGUCAAAAAUUGCUAUCAAAAUUCAAGUGGAGGGUACUAUUUAGACAACUGAGCAAUAUCUUACUUGAUUCCAUAUAUUGAAAACAGCUUUUCUCUGAAUAAUAUUUAAGAUAAGAUUUCCAAAAUAAUUUGGUGACAGGCUCAUGCUGAUUCCAGGGACUCAGACAUUCUAGGGUUGUUUUUUUUUUUUUUUUUUACUUCAUCUGGACAUGUUUAUAUAUGUAUGUAUGUUGAUUUUUUUUUUCCCCAUACUUCAUAGUGAAUUAAGCAACUCCCCUGCUUUAUUUUCUUCAGCUUCUGUUGCAGUAUCUUUCAUUAUUUGGCAUUUAAAUUCUUCUGGAGAAUUCUAUCAGAUAAUUGCAAGGACUAUAUUAUAUAUGUUAUUUCAAAAAAAAUAACAUACAUUGUACAUAUGUUACUACAAGAGAAAUAACAGCUGGAGAAUUCUUUAGCUACUAACCAAGUAGAAAAAUUAGCUGCUUCUAAUGGAAAUAUGGGGAUACAGCUAAUGAUCAGAGUAAGCAACAGAACAAGAACACUUAAGAACUAAACAUGAAAAGAUGCAUUUAAAUAUCUGGUGAGAAUUUACAUAUGCCACUAUAAUACUGUAACUGCAGCAGAAAAUGAAAUGUUGUUUAAAAUAUAAAGAGCAGAUAAAUUUUUGAUGAACAGUACUGAAGUUCCAGAGCAUAACUGCAAUCAUUACCCACAGAAAGCAACUGCAAAAGCAGACUCCUAAUUCAAUUCCAUAUAUCCAAGGUCAAAUACAAGAGCUUUCCUCUGGCAAAAUUCUUAUUGUCUGUUUUUACACAGGACUUACUUGUUUGGCUGUAAGUAACAAGCUGAUAUAUGCAAAAAUGUCACCAACAUAAAUUGCUCUUGCAAUAGUAAAAGCAUCUAGUCUUCAAGAGCUGGGGAAAUCAGCUGAUAUUCUGCUGCUUAAAUCUUACUGGGUCACUGUUCUAUUGCUUGCUUUGGCUUUUAUAAAGCAUGUAAUAAUGAUUUAGAAACUGUGUGAAGGAUAAGUACAACUUUCAGUGCAGAGUUUACUUACAAUUGCAUUGUACUCUAGUAAGUAUUUGUAACCCAGGAUGUAUUUUACUUUUGUAUAUCUUCAUUUUAGUAAACUGAGCCAAACAAAA